GAACGCAUCUUGCGCUCCUUGGUAUUCCGAGGAGCAUGCCUGUUUGAGUGUCAUUAAAUUCUCAACUAUACAAGUUUUUAUUAACCUGUAUGGCUUGGAUCAUGGGAUUUGCAGGCUUCAUGAGUCAGCUAUCCUUAAAUGCAUUAGCAGAGCUUUUGCCGCUAAUCUCUGGUGUGAUAAUUAUCUACGCCAUUGAGAAGUGACAUAUUGAGGCUUCGCUUCUAAUCGUCUUCACAGACAAUAUUUGACAAUCUGACCUCAAAUCAGGUAGGAUUACCCGCUGAACUUAAG
rnacentral:misc_RNA from 1 species